UACGGGGGGGGCAAGCGUUGUUCGGAAUUACUGGGCGUAAAGGGCUCGUAGGUGGCCAACUAAGUCAGACGUGAAAUCCCUCGGCUUAACCGGGGAACUGCGUCUGAUACUGGAUGGCUUGAGUAUGGGAGAGGGAUGUAGAAUUCCAGGUGUAGCGGUGAAAUGCGUAGAUAUCUGGAGGAAUACCGGUGGCGAAGGCGGCAUCCUGGACCAUUACUGACGCUGAGGCGCGAAAGCUAGGGGAGCAAACGGG
rnacentral:rRNA from 1 species